rnacentral:rRNA from 1 species
UACGAAGGGGGCUAGCGUUGUUCGGAUUUACUGGGCGUAAAGCGCACGUAGGCGGAUCGUUAAGUCAGGGGUGAAAUCCUGGAGCUCAACUCCAGAACUGCCUUUGAUACUGAGGAUCUUGAGUUCGGGAGAGGUGAGUGGAACUGCGAGUGUAGAGGUGAAAUUCGUAGAUAUUCGCAAGAACACCAGUGGCGAAGGCGGCUCACUGGCCCGAUACUGACGCUGAGGCACGAAAGCGUGGGGAAGCAAACAGGGAU